UGGGGGAUAUUGGACAAUGGGGGGAACCCUGAUCCAGCGACGCCGCGUGAGUGAAGAAGUAUUUCGGUAUGUAAAGCUCUGUCAGCAGGGAAGAAAGAAAUGACGGUACCUGACCAAGAAGCCCCGGCUAACUACGUGCCAGCAGCCGCGGUAAUACGUAGGGGGCAAGCGUUAUCCGGAAUCACUGGGUGUAAAGGGAGCGUAGACGGUUGUGCAAGUCUGGAGUGAAAAGGCGGGGGCCCAACCCCGCAGCUGCUCUGGAAACUGUGUAACUGGAGUGCAGGAGAGGCAGGCGGAAAUUCCUGGUGUAGCGGUGAAAAUGCGUAGAUAUCAGGAGGAACACCGGUGGCGAAGGCGGCCUGCUGGACUGUAACUGACGUUGAGGCUCGAAAAGCAGUGGGGAGCAAAACAAGGAUUAGAUACC
rnacentral:rRNA from 1 species